ACGACUAUUCAGCUUGCAGGAGAAAUACAAUAACAAUGGAUACGAUGGGAGUGUGUGUGUUUGUGUGAAUAGUCGUCUCUGCCCUCCGACCUGAAGGUGUUUCUCCAGGUGUUUGGAACCAACACCUCCAGCCGGAAACACUUCAUCCUCGCAGGAAGGUCAAAGGACCCUGCUAGCUGGACAUCAAGAGCUCACGUACACACAGACGGAUUUGUGAAAUUGCUUUCCCUGACAUUUUGCGGUUACGCGAGGCUUGGUGAUCUCAGAAUCAGUAGGAUAUUUAACAAACACUCAAAUAGGCAACAGAUGCAGGAACAGCAUGAGGCUGAGUGAAUCACUCAUUCUGGUUCUUCCUUCAAAAUAAGAUAAAUUACAAUGCAGGUUAAAGACAUUCUUUCUGAUUGUCUUUAGCAUGCAGUCUCUCCUCUUGCUACACAUAAUUUUGUACGAAUUAAGUGGAUUAUAAUACAUUUAUAUAUUUGCAAGAGUUGAUGCCUUUUUCAUUAGGGCAAAUCUGGUCUGUGAUAUUGAGUUAGAAAUGUAAAACUUUAGAGUACUUAAACAUCACAUACAUUGCAAGUCUGCCCUUUUUUGACCUUUAGGCUACACUUUACAAUAGGACUCAACUCUGACUGACCGCAGCAUCUAUCAGUAGUAUAAACUGUGACACAAAUUGGUGGGUUUUCACACCUAGUCAAGCUAUUAGACUAUCCUUUGGUAAAUGAAUGGUGUGAAUGUUUCAGCCAGUCUCUCUCCUAUCACAUUAAAGUCUUGCAUUGGGCAACAACAACAACAACAACAACAACAACAAAUCUGUCGGUCGGUCCCGGAGUUGAGAGAGAAGUUGGGCAAAUACAACGACGCAAUUACACUUGACAUGUGGACUGACGAUUUUCGAAAAAUAGGAUACUUGUACCUUACAACCCAUUUACAUAAUGAAGAGUGGAUGUUAUCCACUACGGAGUGGGACAGUGCAGCUCAAACUGCAGAGAACAGAAGACCAGCUACUGUGAAAGAAUACUUGUGGAUCAUGUUGAUUUCAUCUAUUGCAUGAAGAGGCCUAAUGGUCCACCUGGUCAUUGUGUGGUUCCAAGGUUAAAGCCUCACGUUCAGAUGGAGGUGUGGUUUCAGAGAGAAGCCAGCUGUUAGCCUGCGACCAGGUACGGUGGUUAAAGACUCACGUUCAGAUGGAGGUGUGGUUUCAGAGAGAAGCCAGCUGUUAGCCUGCGACCAGGUAUGGUGGUUAAAGCCUCACGUUCAGAUGGAGGUGUGGUUUCAGAGAGAAGCCAGCUGUUAGCCUGCGACCAGGUACGGUGGUUAAAGACUCACGUUCAGAUGGAGGUGUGGUUUUAGAGAGAAGCCAGCUGUUAGCCUGCGACCAGGUACGGUGGUUAAAGCCUCACGUUCAGAUGGAGGUGUGGUUUCAGAGAGAAGCCAGCUGUUAGCCUGCGACCAGGUACGGUGGUUAAAGCCUCACGUUCAGAUGGAGGUGUGGUUUCAGAGAGAAGCCAGCUGUUAGCCUGCGACCAGGUACGGUGGUUAAAGACUCACGUUCAGAUGGAGGUGUGGUUUCAGAGAGAAGCCAGCCUGCGACCAGGUACGGUGGUUAAAGCCUCACGUUCAGAUGGAGGUGUGGUUUCAGAGAGAAGCCAGCCUGCGACCAGGUACGGUGGUUAAAGCCUCACGUUCAGAUGGAGGUGUGGUUUCAGAGAGAAGCCAGCCUGCGACCAGGUAUGGUGGAUAAAGUCUUAUUCCUGCACAGCAAUCUGAAGAAUUCCAGUGAUGAAUGGAUUGUUUCUGAAGUGAAUGUUUUAGUAAAUUUGUUGUCUAAUAUUAGAAUUCUCUUUAAAGAGAUUUGAGUUGUCAAUGUGCAACAUGGCAUUGUGGGGGGGAAAAAAAUGUCAUGGUAUGGCCUUUUUUUCGCAAAUGCUGAAAAACAGCAGACAAAUUAAUGAAUGCAGGAAAAGAGGAAUUCUUCAUUAGAUUAUAAUAAUAAAUGCCUUCUGAGAAUGUUAAAGUCCAACAGUUAUGGGAGGGGUUAGAAAUGUGGCUGUCAGAAGUAUUACGAUGUAAAUUAACUUUUAAUCCAUCUGUCUGCAUAUUUCAAGACAUAUGGCAUAAGGGUGCAGUGAGAUACGAUAGUUUUCGUCAAAACAUCUUGAAAAAACAUAUACUUAAAAACUGAAAAUCAACCAACGUCAGCCUAUUAUCCAAUGUUGAAAGUGCGUGUGGACGACAGAGAGAAACAAAAUGGUGUAGUUUGAGGCCACGUG